CCUACGGGUCGCACCAGUAGGGAAUAUUGGUCAAUGGGUGAGAGCCUGAACCAGCCAUGCCGCGUGCAGGAAGACGGCCUUCUGGGUUGUAAACUGCUUUUAUCAGGGGAUAGAAUUUCCAUGCGUGGAGAAUUGAAGGUACCUGAUGAAUAAGCCACGGCUGACUACGUGCCAGCAGCCGCGGUAAUACGUAGGUGGCGAGCGUUGUCCGGAUUUAUUGGGUUUAAAGGGUGCGUAGGCGGCCAUUUAAGUCAGUGCUGAAAUAUCCCGGCUUAACCGGGAGGGUGGCAUUGAUACUGGGUGGCUUGAGUGAAGUCGAAGUAGGCGGAAUUGACGGUGUAGCGGUGAAAUGCUUAGAUAUCGUCAAGAACACCGAUAGUGUAGACAGCUUACUAGGCUUUAACUGACGCUGAGGCACAAAAGUGUGGGGAUCAAACAGGAUUAGAUACACGCGUAGUC
rnacentral:rRNA from 1 species